ACAUGCACAGUAGUGAUUUAACAUGAAAUACUCUGAUUGCAGGAGUCUCUGGAGGUUUGUGCCUCAUUGAUGAAUAUCAUGCAUGAAGUGUAAGCUCCUCUGCUGCCCACAUUUUUCUCUUCCAGGUGAGGUGUUUGGGAACCUGAGUCACAGCAAAUGUGCUGAGUUACAGCCCAUUUCCACAGGAAAAAAACCCCAGUUACAGGCAUGUUUAUCUGCAAGUGUGUCAAAUGCAUGGGAUGCUCAGACAAUGCAGGCUCGAAGGAUUAACAGACCUUAAUCCUCACCCAGCAGAGGAGACAGACACACACACACAUCUAUAAGGACUGACACACACACACACACAACGUUUCCCCCCAAAACACCCCUGGGCUGUGCACCUUUGGGACCAGAAUAGGCAUCAACUCACCUCGAGGACCAAACUGGACCCGCCUGCUUCUUUGGCUUGGCCAUCUGCUUCUGGUACUCCAUCCAGCCACUCACCAGCUCGUGAAGGAUCAUCACGUAGAGAAGGAAAAUAAGAAUCCUGGGAUCCAUGCGUGGCACCUCGGGGUCUGCUUCAUUGGAACUUUCAUUCAUAGGACCUGCAGAAGAAGGAGAGACACCAACCCUCCCUGCUGGGCUGCCUCUCACCCCGCAGAGGUGGAGCUGUGCUCUAACACUGGUGCUUUCCCCCUUUCCUGAGCACAGGCCCUGCUGAGGAGGAGAAGCAGCACAAGGACUCACCUCAGCCCAGCUUUGUCCUUCUCCUCAAACUCCCCUGGCAGGUCCAGCAGGCCAAAAUCCACCCACACAGAUGGUUUGGCUGCUUUCUGAGAGGUUAUCCUUCCAGCUGGACUGACCUCCUUAUCUUCAGUGUGCUCUCCACGUGCUAAAUGGAUUCUCCUCAAUCUGCUGAUGGUCCUUCCUGCACUACAGAGGGCAAGAACAGAGAAGAGCCCUGGAAGGAGCAGGGAAUGCAGAGGAUAUCCAGGAAUGGCAAAGCCUGGAGCAACCGCAGGGCCGCAGCCCUGUCUGGUGUGUCCUCAGCACUGAGUGACAACACUGAGUGACCUUGAGUGGAGCUGCUCUCAAUCCAUGUUUUACACCCACCUGAACCUCCAAGGAGCUGAUCUGCCCUUGUUUUUAAGGCUGAGCCUGGCUCUGGUGCUGGGAAGGAUAACCAGAGCAUGCCUGAGACAUGAGGAUGGAGCUUGGACUGACACACAAGCCCUGCAGAGCUCAGUCCUUACUCACACAACAGCCUGGACAGGAAAUAAAGGUCAGAAAGAAGGUGGAGAGAGCAGAGAGCUCUGAGGUCACAGCAGGAUCUAUCAGAGCUGCAAAGACAGUUGCAGAAACACUUCCUGCUCCUGAAAAGCUGCUCCACCAGGACAUCUCCCCAGGGAUACAGCUGUAUUCACAGGGGCAUUUGUAUGCCAGGACCACUGUACAAAAGGAAACAUGGAACAGUAUCUGUGUGCCAUCCAUCAGAACUGGGUUGCAGAGGCCAGGAACUCUGAAUUGCCCCACAUGCUCAGUCCUCUCUGCUUCUGGAGAGACACAGAGCACCAGGGCACAGCUCCUGCCCCACACAGCCCUGCUGCUGGGCACCUCCAAACACCACCUCCCUUCAACUGAGACAACCUCAGCAGGAGCAGAGCUAAAACAGCAUUUGCAGCAGCUGCAAAUACCCUUGUACCCACCUACAGGCAAAAUCAGGGCUGUUCUCCACCCUCAAAUGGCUGAACUAGUCUGCAAAAGGAGUUGAGAAGAAAAUAAAGAUAUAGAAAAA